UUGAGCCGGAUGAGGGGCGACUCUCACGUCCGGUUCUUAGGGGGCGGCAGCGCAGCAAUGCGCUGUUGCUACCCGAC
rnacentral:ncRNA from 1 species